CCUACGGGUGGCAGCAGUGAGGAAUAUUGGUCAAUGGGCGAGAGCCUGAACCAGCCAAGUCGCGUGAGGGAAGACGGUCCUAUGGAUUGUAAACCUCUUUUGUCGGGGAGCAAAAGACGCCACGUGUGGCGUUCCGAGAGUACCCGAAGAAAAAGCAUCGGCUAACUCCGUGCCAGCAGCCGCGGUAAUACGGAGGAUGCGAGCGUUAUCCGGAUUUAUUGGGGUUAAGGGGUGCGCAGGCGGAAGAUCAAGUCAGCGGUAAAAUUGAGAGGCUCAACCUCUUCGAGCCGUUGAAACUGGUGUUCUUGAGUGAGCGAGAAGUAUGCGGAAUGCGUGGUGUAGCGGUGAAAUGCAUAGAUAUCACGCAGAACUCCGAUUGCGAAGGCAGCAUACCGGCGCUCAACUGACGCUCAUGCACGAAAGUGUGGGUAUCGAACAGGAUUAGAUACCCGGGUAGUC
rnacentral:rRNA from 1 species